GACGAACGCUGGCGGCGUGCCUAAUACAUGCAAGUCGAGCGAAGCGGCGGAUGGGUGAGUAACGCGUGGGUAACCUGCGCUUAAGUCUGGGAUACCAUUUGGAUACAGCUUACAAUACCGGAUACUGAAGGCUGGACCUGCGAUGCAUUAGCUGGUUGGUAAGGUAACGCCUUACCAAGACGAUGAUGCAAAGCCGAGUGAAGAGAUUGAUCGGCCACAUUGGGACUGAGACACGGCCCAAACUCCAACGGUGGGCAGCAGGAGGGAAUCUUCGACAAUGGACAAAAGUCUGAGGGGGCAACGCCGCGUGAUGGAAACAGGUUUUCGGAUCUUAAAGCUCUUUUUUUGGUGAAACGGUAAGCAAACAGAAAGCCACGGCUAACUACGUGCCAGCAGCCGCGGUAAUAC
rnacentral:rRNA from 1 species